GAUGAACGCUAGCUACAGGCUUAACACAUGCAAGUCGAGGGGCAGCAUGGACCCAGCUUUGCUGGGUUUGAUGGCGACCGGCGCACGGGUGAGUAACGCGUAUCCAACCUGCCCUUUACUCCGGGAUAGUCUCCUGAAAGGGAGUUUAGUACCGGAUGUGUUUGUCUUUCCGCAUGGGAGCGACAAAUAAAGAUUAAUUGGUAAAGGAUGGGGAUGCGUCCCAUUAGCUUGUUGGCGGGGUAACGGCCCACCAAGGCGACGAUGGGUAGGGGUUCUGAGAGGAAGGUCCCCCACAUUGGAACUGAGACACGGUCCAAACUCCUACGGGAGGCAGCAGUGAGGAAUAUUGGUCAAUGGGCGGGAGCCUGAACCAGCCAAGUAGCGUGAAGGACGACGGCCCUACGGGUUGUAAACUUCUUUUAUAAGGGAAUAAAGUUCGCCACGUGUGGUGUUUUGUAUGUACCUUAUGAAUAAGCA
rnacentral:rRNA from 1 species